rnacentral:rRNA from 1 species
UUUUAUGGAGAGUUUGAUCCUGGCUCAGGAUGAACGCUGGCGGCGUGCCUAAUACAUGCAAGUCGAGCGAACGGACGAGAAGCUUGCUUCUCUGAUGUUAGCGGCGGACGGGUGAGUAACACGUGGAUAACCUACCUAUAAGACUGGGAUAACUUCGGGAAACCGGAGCUAAUACCGGAUAAUAUUUUGAACCGCAUGGUUCAAAAGUGAAAGACGGUCUUGCUGUCACUUAUAGAUGGAUCCGCGCUGCAUUAGCUAGUUGGUAAGGUAACGGCUUACCAAGGCAACGAUGCAUAGCCGACCUGAGAGGGUGAUCGGCCACACUGGAACUGAGACACGGUCCAGACUCCUACGGGAGGCAGCAGUAGGGAAUCUUCCGCAAUGGGCGAAAGCCUGACGGAGCAACGCCGCGUGAGUGAUGAAGGUCUUCGGAUCGUAAAACUCUGUUAUUAGGGAAGAACAUAUGUGUAAGUAACUGUGCACAUCUUGACGGUACCUAAUCAGAAAGCCACGGCUAACUACGUGCCAGCAGCCGCGGUAAUACGUAGGUGGCAAGCGUUAUCCGGAAUUAUUGGGCGUAAAGCGCGCGUAGGCGGUUUUUUAAGUCUGAUGUGAAAGCCCACGGCUCAACCGUGGAGGGUCAUUGGAAACUGGAAAACUUGAGUGCAGAAGAGGAAAGUGGAAUUCCAUGUGUAGCGGUGAAAUGCGCAGAGAUAUGGGGGAACACCAGUGGCGAAGGCGACUUUCUGGUCUGUAACUGACGCUGAUGUGCGAAAGCGUGGGGAUCAAACAGGAUUAGAUACCCUGGUAGUCCACGCCGUAAACGAUGAGUGCUAAGUGUUAGGGGGUUUCCGCCCCUUAGUGCUGCAGCUAACGCAUUAAGCACUCCGCCUGGGGAGUACGACCGCAAGGUUGAAACUCAAAGGAAUUGACGGGGACCCGCACAAGCGGUGGAGCAUGUGGUUUAAUUCGAAGCAACGCGAAGAACCUUACCAAAUCUUGACAUCCUUUGACAACUCUAGAGAUAGAGCCUUCCCCUUCGGGGGACAAAGUGACAGGUGGUGCAUGGUUGUCGUCAGCUCGUGUCGUGAGAUGUUGGGUUAAGUCCCGCAACGAGCGCAACCCUUAAGCUUAGUUGCCAUCAUUAAGUUGGGCACUCUAAGUUGACUGCCGGUGACAAACCGGAGGAAGGUGGGGAUGACGUCAAAUCAUCAUGCCCCUUAUGAUUUGGGCUACACACGUGCUACAAUGGACAAUACAAAGGGCAGCGAAACCGCGAGGUCAAGCAAAUCCCAUAAAGUUGUUCUCAGUUCGGAUUGUAGUCUGCAACUCGACUACAUGAAGCUGGAAUCGCUAGUAAUCGUAGAUCAGCAUGCUACGGUGAAUACGUUCCCGGGUCUUGUACACACCGCCCGUCACACCACGAGAGUUUGUAACACCCGAAGCCGGUGGAGUAACCUUUUAGGAGCUAGCCGUCGAAGGUGGGACAAAUGAUUGGGGUGAAGUCGUAACAAGGUAGCCGUAUCGGAAGGUGCGGCUGGAUCACCUCCUUUCUAA